rnacentral:rRNA from 1 species
GACGACCGCUGGCGGCGUGCUUAACACAUGCAAGUCGAACGAAGUGGCGAACGGGUGAGUAAUACGUGGGUAACCUGCCCUCCUUUUUGGGAUAAGCCUUGGAAACGGGGUCUAAUACCGAAUAAAGGGGGAUGGGCUCGCGGCCUAUCAGCUGGUUGGUGGGGUGCUGGCCUACCAAGGCGGUGACGGGUAGCCGGCCUGAGAGGGUGACCGGCAACAUUGGGCCGGAGAUACGGCCCAGAGUCCGACGGGAGGCAGCAGUGGGGGAUAUGGCACAAUGGGCGAAAGCCUGAGGCAGCUACGCCGAGUGGGGGAUGAAGGCUUUCGGGUUGUAAACCGAGUUCGAUAUCGAAAGGGUAGGUGGAGAAGAAGCACCGGCUAACUACGUGCCAGCAGCCGCGGUAAUUC